rnacentral:rRNA from 1 species
UGCGUAGGGAGCAAGCGUUGUCCGGAAUCAUUGGGCGUAAAGCGCGCGUAGGCGGCCCCGUAAGUCCGCUGUGAAAGUCAAAGGCUCAACCUUUGAAAGCCGGUGGAUACUGUGGGGCUAGAGUCCGGAAGAGGCGAGUGGAAUUCCUGGUGUAGCGGUGGAAUGCGCAGAUAUCAGGAGGAACACCAAUAGCGAAGGCAGCUCGCUGGGACGGUACUGACGCUAAGGCGCGAAAGCGUGGGGAGCGAACAGG